UACGAAGGGGGCUAGCGUUGUUCGGAAUUACUGGGCGUAAAGGGCGCGUAGGUGGUCCUGCAAGUCGGAUGUGAAAUCCCCGGGCUCAACCUGGGAACUGCAUUCGGUACUGCUGGACUUGAGUGUCGGAGAGGACGGCGGAAUACCCAGUGUAGAGGUGAAAUUCGUAGAUAUUGGGUAGAACACCGGUGGCGAAGGCGGCCGUCUGGACGACAACUGACACUGAGGCGCGAAAGCGUGGGGAGCAAACAGG
rnacentral:rRNA from 1 species